UACGUAGGGGGCAAGCGUUGUCCGGAUUUAUUGGGCGUAAAGAGCGUGUAGGCGGCCAUACAGGUCAGCUGUGAAAACUCGAGGCUCAACCUCGAGACGUCGGUUGAAACCGUAUGGCUAGAGUCCGGAAGAGGAGAGUGGAAUUCCCGGUGUAGCGGUGAAAUGCGCAGAUAUCGGGAAGAACACCCGUGGCGAAGGCGGCUCUCUGGGACGGUACUGGACGCUGAGACGCGAAAGCGUGGGUAGCAAACAGG
rnacentral:rRNA from 1 species